rnacentral:lncRNA from 1 species
CUAUUUUGGAAAAUAGUUCCUAUACAACUGUCUGUGGCUAUUCAACAUGAUUCUUAGUCAGCCUGGACUGGAAGAGGAAAACUACGGAUCACUCAGGCGAGGGGCCUUCAUAUUGUUUUGUGGUUUGUUCCAUUGAGAAGACAAGGGGCAAGGGCAAACAGAGGAGUAAGGGUAGUGGGCUGGGCCAUGAUUCAGAGGAACCUGUAGUUCUGCUUUUUCUUUUCUUUCUCUAGUUGCAGAUGCCGUUAAAGUGAAAGACUGAUUCUAGGAUGUAGGGGAAAGACCAUUUGGAGGAAUCCUGGAAACAAGUGCAAAGAUAGAAGUGCAUAUGGGAAAAUAGACCUGCUACUCUUGAGUGGUUCACCUCAUGUGGAUGGCAGUGACCUCUGGGAGUCCGUUCAUUUACCCAUCCAUUCAGUCCACUCACAUUAUGGAGCCCUGUGAUAUGCCAAGGAAUCAAAUAAAGAAGCUCGCUGCUUCUGUGAACUUUCAGCCUGGCGGAGGAGGCAGACCAGCAGGACACGGAUGCUUAUGUAAUGGUACUAUAAGGUCAAGGAAGGAGAAGCACAAGGUGCUAUGAAAACAAAUAGCGAGAGUGGUCAGGGGUUAGAAAAAUUUCCAUGAAGGAAAGCUGAACCCCCUGAGGGAUUAGCCAAAUGCAAGGGGUGGGAGCCUAGGGACACCCAAGCAGGAAGCAGCAGCAUGAGUGAAGGGAGGAACAGUCAAGGAAAUCUCAACGAAAUGAAGUAAGCUCCGCGUAAGAGUGAGCAAAGGUAAAUGCAGAGGAAAGAAAACAAAAUCAAACCAAUGACAGGGUAAAAAUCCUGCUACUGAAAGCUACUCGUUGAGGCCAAGAGUAUGCAGGGCUCUCUACUUCCCAUAAUGGCUUUGGCUCCAGACACACUGAAAGUCAUGGGCUUUUUAAGGAAGCCAGGAGCCAGAGUCUUCUACCCACAUCCACAGGCUGAUAGCCUGGUGCAGAAGGAUGCUGUCUAUCUGUCUAUCUAUCUAUCUAUCUAUCUAUCUAUCUAUCUAUCUAUCUAUCGUGAAACAAGGACCUGCGUAGCAGAGGCUGUUCUUAAACUCAUGCCUUCCCAUCUGAGCCUUCCAAGUCCUGAGAGUACAGGUGUAUUCCACCAGGUUCAGUCAGUGAGUUCUUCCUAAUAUUAAUGCAAUUGUCCAAUGGGGGAGCACCAAUGCUGGAAGAAGAGAUAAAACCAGAAUGGCUGAGUACUUGUGAUGGAACAGGCAAUGUCAAGACAUGUUAUCUUUCCUAUCUUAUUUAAUAUUCCAGUGCACCUGUAUUGCAUUAUAUUCUCGAGAACUGAGCGUCUGGGAAGGAGAGUAAUCUGCACCCCCUCCCCCAAAGGAAGGUGGAGACAAGCCUAGGGUGACUUCUGUACCAGGGGGAUUCAGCACUGUGGUUUACCUUGUCGGCGGGAUACACAGCUCAUCAGAUUCGGACUCUUACUUUCUAGAGAAGACAGUGGCUCACAGGGGCUCAGGGCCUCUUAUGAAUGAGGAGCUCGCAUGGAAGGGUAAUAUCCAUAUUUCGAACUAAUGGAAAAAUACUGUGCAAUGGGGAGAUGAAGAUAGUACCCGUGGCUCCGUCAAAGGGUGACUCUGACAUUUGCUGUUACCCAUUGCUUCAAAUUAGGUCUGACUGCUCCAGCUGUCAUCUCACCUGCUGGCUCCCUUAAUUUUAGUCUCUAGCCCUUCCCUACUGGAACUUGAAAUACUAAAGGGAACGGUUAAGAAGUUUAAUUCCUGGACCGGAGCGCCCCCUAGGCACACCGAGCUAAACUGUGACGCGCUUCAUCUGACUCAGGAUUCUGGGAAGUUGAUGUCCAGGGUCAGCAUCGGAUCCUUGAACUUCCCGGUUUGUAUUGUGAGGCAAGCACCCUGGGACUUUCCUGACUUGGGCAGGGAGGGUGCAGGGAAGGAGACGGGGAAGAAGGAAGUGGCAAACACUGUCCAAGCAGGCACCGAAAAGGCUAUGCAGGGGUUGCUCCUUCAACAGACACGUGGGGCUAGAGUGGGGGCGGGAGUGGUAGAUAUACCAGAGACUCAGGAGAUGCAAUUCAGCAGGCAAUAUUCAGCAGCCGCGGUGAGUGCACAGGGACAGAAGAACCAUCACUUAAUAAAAAGCACUGUUAGAGCCGGCCAGUGUGGCACUCACCUUUAAACCCAGCAUUUGAGAGGCAGAGACCGGAGAAUCUCUGAGUUCGAGGCCACCCUGGUCUACAACCGGAAGUUCACAGAGAAACUCUGUCUUGAAAAAAAACAAAACAAAACAACAGCAAAAACCUGUUAGAACAGAACAACCCAUUUCAAGUCAACUAUUUAUGUUCCUGUUACUGCUCUCUUGUUACAGUGAAUCUUAUAUGUUCAUUUUAAACAAGGAUUCUUCAAGUUUAUAACUUUUUUGCUGCAUUUUGAUUUUCUUUCCUCUUUUUUUUUUAAAUACUUAUCUCCUAUAUACAUAGCUAACAUAACCAAAGCUUUGUGUCAAGUAGUAUGUUACAUUUCGUCUCUGUAUGUGUACAUUGUGGUGAUCUAGUGUAUAAGACCUGUGUGCAGUGUUUAUCUGUGUGUCUCUGUGGGAUAUGUAUAUGACGCAUCCAACAUAUAUGCAUUAUAUGUUUCUAUCUAUGUUUGAUAUUUUUGAAUGUUUAUAUGAUUGUGUGUGUCGUAUCUAUGCUCUAUAUUUGUGUAUCUGUUUCUGUGUGGAGUGAGUGUAUAUGUAGUGUGUUUAUUUGGGGUGAAUAUAUUUCUGUUUCUACAAGUAUUAACAUGGUCUGUGUAUGUGUGUCCAAGUAUGUGUGUGAAUUUGUGUAUGAACAAAUGUGUGUGUGUGUGUGUGUGUCUGUGUCUGUGUGUGUGUGUGUCUGUGUCUGUGUGUACUAUGUUCAUGUUUGCUGACUCUAGCAUCUCAGGUCCAAAUUCAGACCUUAGUUACUGUUCUGGAAAGUGAGACUUCCCAGGCACAGCAUCUGAGACUGGCUAGCAUCUAAGAGUUGGACAAGGCACUUUGCAUGGUAGACGUUUGAGAACCUGCACAGUCACUGUGUGUGCUGGGGGCAGUGACAUGCCGCAGCUUCUGCCGAGGCCAGCGUCCGUGCUUAUCAGCAGUCAGCACCCUCAAGAGCCAUUAUCACAGGCCACAGAGCGCUUGACUUCACAUGCUAUGUGUUUCUUUCUCCUCUAAGAUACAUUUUCAUUCUCACCUAAAGACAAAAGGUCUCUUGGGUGGAUCCAUGGGUCCUUUUUCCUUGUUAGGCCAGUCGACAUCAACAACGUCAGCCUUUUUGUCGGGGCAGGAAGUGGUGGCGCAGAUCCAAAUCAGCAAGGUGGCCUUUCCCCUAGUUUCUAGCCACAGUUCCGACUUGUGUACACAGCUCUGCCUCACCCUGCACAGUGAGCAUGCCCCGCUGUGUGGCUCAGUCAGCCUCCUGCCUCCUGACCUGGCUCUUACACAGAAGAUGAGACAGUCGUUAGGCCAAAGCAUUCAAGGUUUAGUUUAAUCCCAUAAGUGAAUUCCUCUAGUAGCCAUCAAGAGGUGUGGCCAUACCCUAGGGGAGGAGGGAAGGCUGAGAGCUUGGCUCAGGGUAAGCUAGAACUCACACCCAUCCAGGUUCACUCCUUACUCUGUGACUGGGAUACACAGGAUCUUUGGGCUCUGCUUCCUCAGUUGUUCCUGACUUACUUAGUGUUGGGCAGCAAACCUGGUAUAGAGUUCAUAGCGAAGUACAUAGACUACGACCUUUUAUUCAGUGUGUAGGUUGGCUUCCUGGACCCAGCCUCAGUCUGAGGGAGAACAGGUUGGGAGCAGAGUUCUUCCCAGACUGCUCUGUAGUCAAGGUUCUAGAAGCAAGUCAUCGUUUAUACUCCAACUAAGAUGUGCAAGGCCAGAGGAGGGGUGUGUGUGUGUGUGUGUGUGUGUGUGUGUGUGUGUGUGUGUGUGUGUGUGUGUAAGUUUGAGGGGGUGUGUCCAGGUGCAGAGACUAAAACCAGAGGAAGAUAUCACUUUUUGGCCUUUAUUCCCUGGAGACAGGGUCUCUCACUGAACUUGGAGCUAGGCAGCAGCCAGCAAGCCUGGGACCCUUCUGCCUCUGCCCCAGCACUGGGGUUGCAGGUGCUUGAGCAACCACAUCGACUUGAAUGACAUGGAUCCUUAUGCUUGUGAUGCGAGUGUCCUUACCUGUGAGCCGUUUCUCCACCCCUACCACUCACAUCUCGGCUCUUUUACCCUGACUUCCAGCGGCCAACAUCUGCACAUAUCUGACCUUGCACGUCUCAGCCUCCUCUAGCUCCAGCAAACCGGGGUUCCCUUAACUUGGUGCUUUCUUUCAAUAUUUAAAAAAACGAAACAAAACAUCCAUCACCACCACCAAACUUUUCUCAACAACCCAAGUACUGAAUUCUUCACCUAACUGAAAAGCAUAUGAGAAAGCUUCCCGUAUGCUUCUGAACUAUUCUUUGAUGAGACAAAUCUGACCUUCUUUUAGCUGCAUCUCCCAAUGGAAGGUGCAGCUUAGCAACUAGCGACAGCUGGCUUGCCUUUGUUAGGGACUUGGACACCCCAG